UGCAAGUCGAGCGCGGGAAGCUAACGGAAUCCUUCGGGAGGAAGUUAGUGGAACGAGCGGCGGACGGGUGAGUAACACGUGGGCAACCUGCCUGUAAGACUGGGAUAACCCCGGGAAACCGGGGCUAAUACCGGAUAAUACUUUUCCUCGCAUGAGGGAAAGUUGAAAGAUGGCCUUUGCGCUAUCACUUACAGAUGGGCCUGCGGCGCAUUAGCUAGUUGGUGAGGUAAUGGCUCACCAAGGCGACGAUGCGUAGCCGACCUGAGAGGGUGAUCGGCCACACUGGGACUGAGACACGGCCCAGACUCCUACGGGAGGCAGCAGUAGGGAAUCUUCCGCAAUGGACGAAAGUCUGACGGAGCAACGCCGCGUGAACGAAGAAGGUUUUCGGAUCGUAAAGUUCUGUUGUUAGGGAAGAACAAGUGCCGUUCAAAUAGGGCGGCACCUUGACGGUACCUAUCGAGGAAGCCCCGGCUAACUACGUGCCAGCAGCCGCGGUAAUACGUAGGGGGCAAGCGUUGUCCGGAAUUAUUGGGCGUAAAGCGCGCGUAGGCGGUUUCUUAAGUCUGAUGUGAAAUCUUGCGGCUCAACCGCAAGCGGUCAUUGGAAACUGGGGAACUUGAGUACAGAAGAGGAGAGCGGAAUUCCACGUGUAGCGGUGAAAUGCGUAGAUAUGUGGAGGAACACCAGUGGCGAAGGCGGCUCUCUGGUCUGUAACUGACGCUGAGGUGCGAAAGCGUGGGGAGCGAACAGGAUUAGAUACCCUGGUAGUCCACGCCGUAAACGAUGAGUGCUAGGUGUUAGGGGGUUUCCGCCCCUUAGUGCUGCAGUUAACGCAUUAAGCACUCCGCCUGGGGAGUACGGCCGCAAGGCUGAAACUCAAAAGAAUUGACGGGGGCCCGCACAAGCGGUGGAGCAUGUGGUUUAAUUCGAAGCAACGCGAAGAACCUUACCAGGUCUUGACAUCUUCGGACGACCCUAGAGAUAGGGAGUUCCCUUCGGGGACCGAAUGACAGGUGGUGCAUGGUUGUCGUCAGCUCGUGUCGUGAGAUGUUGGGUUAAGUCCCGCAACGAGCGCAACCCUUGAUCUUAGUUGCCAGCAUUUAGUUGGGCACUCUAAGGUGACUGCCGGUGACAAACCGGAGGAAGGUGGGGAUGACGUCAAAUCAUCAUGCCCCUUAUGACCUGGGCUACACACGUGCUACAAUGGAUGGUACAAAGGGCAGCGAAGCCGCGAGGUGAAGCAAAUCCCAUAAAACCAUUCUCAGUUCGGAUUGCAGGCUGCAACUCGCCUGCAUGAAGCCGGAAUCGCUAGUAAUCGUGGAUCAGCAUGCCACGGUGAAUACGUUCCCGGGCCUUGUACACACCGCCCGUCACACCACGAGAGUUGGCAACACCCGAAGUCGGUGGGGUAACCUUGGAGCCAGCCGCCGAA
rnacentral:rRNA from 1 species